rnacentral:rRNA from 1 species
GGCGGCGCUGCUUAACACAUGCAAGUCGAACGAUGAAGCCUUUCGGGGUGGAUUAGUGGCGAACGGGUGAGUAACACGUGGGCAAUCUGCCCUUCACUCUGGGACAAGCCCUGGAAACGGGGUCUAAUACCGGAUAACACUCUGUCCCGCAUGGGACGGGGUUAAAAGCUCCGGCGGUGAAGGAUGAGCCCGCGGCCUAUCAGCUUGUUGGUGGGGUGAUGGCCUACCAAGGCGACGACGGGUAGCCGGCCUGAGAGGGCGACCGGCCACACUGGGACUGACACACGGCCCAGACUCCUACGGGAGGCAGCAGUGGGGAAUAUUGCACAAUGGGCGAAAGCCUGAUGCAGCGACGCCGCGUGAGGGAUGACGGCCUUCGGGUUGUAAACCUCUUUCAGCAGGGAAGAAGCGAAAGUGACGGUACCUGCAGAAGAA